rnacentral:rRNA from 1 species
GGGUCUACCCAUUGGUCAGGCUUAAUUGUCUGCACUGGUAGGAUGGAUCUCUACCUUCUGAGGAACUUUCAUGCCAUUUAUUUGGUGUGAGGGAACCAGGACUUUUACCUUGAGAAAAUUAGAGUGUUCAAAGCAGGCCUACGCCUGAAUACGUUAGCAUGGAAUAAUAGAAUAGGACGUGCGGUUCUAUUUUGUUGGUUUCUAGAGUCGCCGUA